rnacentral:misc_RNA from 1 species
UGAAAGAUUUCCGAGUUGAUGAGGUAUCAAUCCUCCAAAUCCUGCUCCGGAGAGGUUAAGGUAUCUUAAACUACCCAUAGAGCCAAGGAAUUUGGGAAUGUGAUUUCCUUCAAAAUUAUUGUUGCUUAAGUCUAGAUACUCCAAAUGCUUCAAGUUGAGUAAAGAUUGACUAAUCUUACCUCUGAAUGCCGAACUCUCCCAAUAAUCAUCAUAGAAACCAGUGUGAUUAGAGGCAUAAUACUCUUCCUCAGAAAGACUUCUUAGAUGGAGCUCAAUAACAUGGCUGGUGAGAUUAUCACAGAUGACUCCAGGCCAUUCACAGCAAUCCGCAUCACGAUCCCAAGAAGAAAGCCGGUUAGAAGGAUCUUUAAGGCCAAACUUGAACUGCAAAAGAGCUUCUCUUUCGCUUUCAAUGCAGCCAGCACUCAGGCUUUCAUGACAAAGGCCAAGACUAAAAAUAGUCGCUGCGAAGAGAAACAAAAGGAAAGCAAGGGAAAAACUAGUAGCAGUCAUUGAUGUUUUCAUGGUCAUUCACUAGUAGAGCUAAUC